UCUCUCUAGGGUUUCUCUCUUUUCGAGUAGAAGUCGCCGAUUCGAGCCGAUUCCGCGUUCCGCUCGAUGUUCGUUGGUUUGGAGACUCAAGGAAAGUCUUUGGCACGUGGGGAGAAGGAUUCUUACUAAAUUUCUGAGGUCCUAUCACCAGGGGAAGCUGAGUUGCAGCUUUUGAUAGCUGAAUUAGAAGGAGUUUCCAGCAGCUAGAGAGGAGUUAGUUAGCUCUGAUUUAUCCACUUUAGACCAAGGAUAAGCUGCUUUGAAGCUUGAUAAAGGUUUCCAAACCACCUUGAGCUAAAUUGGUGACCUUGGGGGACUGGUUUGAAAGGUGUUUCAACCAAGGCAAGGUUGCAAUCGACCGUUGGAUUAUCUUCGACUAACUUGUGAGAGCUUUUGGAGGUUAAACUUGAGGUUUGAGACCUAGCGAGCUGACUUUUGGGAAUCAGUUGGGGCUGGAUCGAGCUUAGUGCUAGAGCCACUUACAUGAGAGGCUAGGGAUCGCGGCAAGGGAGUCGUGUCUAGCUAGAUCUAGCAUUGGAGCUUGACUAGAUGAUCACCUUGCUUUUCGGGCUACGGCCGAGGGUGAUGUCCCCGUGUAUAGAGAGACCACCACUGUACCUAUAUUUUUGUGUACCUUGUGAUGUAUAUGUGGUUGGGAA